UACGUAGGGGGCGAGCGUUGUCCGAAGUCACUGGGCGUAAAGCGCGCGUAGGCGGGGGAUUAAGUGAGAAGUGAAAGGCUGGGGCUCAACCUCAUGCAGUGCUUCUCAUACUGGUCCUCUUGAGGGCGGUAGGGAGAAGUGGAAUGGCUGGUGUAGCGGUGAAAUGCGUAGAUAUCAGUCGGAACACCGGUGGCGAAGGCGGCUUCUUGGGCCGUUCCUGACGCUGAGGCGCGAAAGCCAGGGGAGCGAACGGG
rnacentral:rRNA from 1 species